CUUAUUUUUGGUAUUAUGCCCUAAAAAUAACUCGUAAAAUGCAUGGAUGGCAUGGAUAAACCACAUACAUCAUGAUGGGCCACACGGAGUGCCUGCUAGCACCGUCCGUCUCCAACUUCAUCUCGUGCACAAAAGAGAGAUGCCCGCACCCAAAAAAAUAGCCCCCCACGCCCAAAUCAGAGAAACCCUAACCUUCGAAUGCCCUCUCUCUCACGCCUCUUCCUCCCUCUCAAUCUCUUUCUCACGCCUUUUCCUCCAUCUCAAUCUCUCUCAGCCUCUUCCUGCCUCUCAAUCUCUCUCCCGCCUCUCCCUUUCUCUCCAAUACCAGUAACAACCCUUGCUUCCUAUUACGUCCAUCUAUCUUUAAUUUUUUUUCUUUGAUUUUUUCUUUUUCUCUUCUCAUUUUAGGUUUUUUGAUGCCCUAAUCAAUUUCUUUUUCUCUUCUCAUUUCAGGUUUUCUGAUGCCCUAUUAACGACCUUAUUUUUGUACAUAGAGAAGCAGAGACAAGCAUUACGCUUAUCCAAUUUCAACAACCUCUAAUCGAAUCCCAUGGGAUUUCUAUGUAUUUUUCUAGAAAGAGCCUUGAAAUUUUCACAAGGGUGUAUUGGAGAGCAGAACCUGGAGAUAAGAAGUUGAAACUGAAUUAAGGUACAUGGUUGAUCAAGGCACAUUGACUAAGAUGAACCCAUUUCUUGAAGAUGCAUUUAAUUCAUCAUGCGAAGGAAUCGUGGUAAAAUCUCUAUAUAUUGAUGUUGGGUACAUGGCAUCAAAGCGCAUAGAAACAUGGUUAAAGGUAUUUUAGUUUGAUACCAGAUUCAAGAAUCUUUAGAAACUAAAUAAUGGUGUUAUUUGCAAUGGUAAUCUCUUAAAUUCUAAUACAAGAUUUCCCAUUUAGGUGAAAUGGGAUUAUUUGGAUGGUUUGAAUGACACUCUUGAUUUAGUCCCUAUUGGUGCUUGUCAUGGAAAUGGGAGAAAGGCAGGAUGGUAUGGAUCUGAGAACCAUUUUAGUUGAUUCUCUCUCAUCAUGACUCCCGCCACUCUCUUCCAUUCCUAAGAUGCUGAUUUUUAGGGUUUCUAUAUAUAUGUUUCCUUAUCAUUUUAGAUGGUUUGAUUGAUGGAUUUGUUCAUUUUCUAGUCUGGUGCUAUUUUGAUGUACCUCCUUCAGUCCACUCAAUGUGGAAAGGGGUUUCUGAAUUUUCAAAACAAAAUUCCUUUGAUCUUUUGAUGAUGUGUACUCCUCGUAAUAGCUUUGUGCUUUACUUGAAAAGAAACAGAAAUAUGGUUUGUAGAUGGGUCCUUGUAAGAAUAUAAAGGAUUCUGGUUCUGUUUCUUACUCCCACUAGAGUUAGCUGUAUAUUGUAAUCUGUAGGACAAUAUGUUCAGGAACUCUAAAUUGACCAUUGCAUAUAGGCAAUCAUUUAACUAGUUGCAUUACUUUCAACUUUUUUGUUUCUCCGUUUAAUAGUUUUUGACAAUAGUAAAGGUGUACAGUGUUUAAUGUAAAAUACUGAACAACAGAACUCGGCACCACUGCCAAAGAAAGUGUACAUAUGUCCUCCAUGCUGUCCGUCAGGUGUGCACUGUGCUGCCUCAUCUAUUCAGAAACCAAAUAUUGGGUCAGUCCAAAACUCCAGUAGGCCAUUCCAUAAGGAAGAGUAGAGAUGGAAUGCAUAGCGUUAGUUGUAAAUGGGCCCACCCAAUCUAUUCAUAUGAUUCUUCUCACCAAGAUGAAGGUACUCUCCAAAAAUCACAAUAUUAUGAAAAUCAGGUGGAUCCCAUCACGUGAAUUUACAGGUUUUAGGCAGGUUUUACACUCUUGCAAUGGUGAGACUCACCUGAGUUUUGUCGACUUCUGGUGAAAAGUUGUGAAAUGAUCAGCAUAAUUCUGUUUAUUUGGUUUAGAAUAGACGGAAGCGUGAAAUUAGGAUUUCCUUAGUUGUAGGAGCAACGGCAUCGCUAUGGGCCAUCUUUGCACAACCUUACCAAUAUGGUGCUUUCAAUUCGGUUGUUUCUUCUUCUUUCGUGGAGGCAUUUCAAGGCAAGAAAAUUGUUCCAUGAAUUGGCAAAGUUUGAUGAGAAAAAGUGAAGCUGCCGCAGGCGUCUAUCUGAUCACAAUGCACAAUGUUACAAGCUGAUUGCAUGAAGGAUUGUAAUUAAUUCAUUAUUGAAUGAA